rnacentral:rRNA from 1 species
UACGUAGGGGGCUAGCGUUGUCCGGAUUUAUUGGGCGUAAAGAGCGUGUAGGCGGCCAUGUAGGUCCGGUGUGAAAACUCGAGGCUUAACCUCGAGAUGUCAUCGGAAACCAUUUGGCUAGAGUCCGGAAGAGGAGAGUGGAAUUCCUGGUGUAGCGGUGGAAUGCGCAGAUAUCAGGAAGAACACCCGUGGCGAAGGCGGCUCUCUGGGACGGUACUGACGCUGAGACGCGAAAGCGUGGGGAGCGAACAGG